GAACGCACCUUGCACCCUCUAGUAUUCUGGAGGGUAUGCCUGUUUGAGUGUCAUUAAUCUCUCAACACAAGAAAACUUGUUUCUUGUGCUUGGAUAUUGAAGGUUUUGCUGGCGCAAAUAACUGUCAGCUCCUUUUAAAUGCAUUAGCAGAGCAGUGUAGGACUGGCCUCAGUUUGAUAAGAAAUAUUUAUCUAUGCUGUCGCUAGAUUUCCUCUUUGUGUUCAGCUUCAAACUGUCUUCGGACUGUCUCUCUUGAGGCAAAACAAUUCAUUGAUCGACCUCAAAUCAGGUAGGACUACCCGCUGAACUUA
rnacentral:misc_RNA from 1 species